UUAACUAUUAUAUAGUACUCAGACGACAUAGAAUUCCAGAGUUUAGGGGUCCUCUGGCGGGCACUUACCAGCAAGAGCCGGUAGCCAAGGCGGCCCGCCAAAGCAACAAAGGUAAGUUAUUCAAGGGUGGGAGGUCUACCCGUGAGGGCAUGAACUCUGUAAUGAUCCUUCCGCAGGUUCACCUACGGAAA
rnacentral:misc_RNA from 1 species